AUGAUGAAGGAUUUGGGUUCUGAAACGCCAAAAUCGACCCUUCUAAAGCGAGCCCGAGUGUUGAUGGAGGAGAAUGGCGCCGAUAGCAGCGACACAACUCUUCUCCAAUGGUGGCUACGCCUAGUUAUCAAACCUCCUCCAAUUCGUAUUGGUCUUAACAUGAUUCUGAUAUGUUAUUUUUGUGGUCUUGGUGAAUUGUGA